rnacentral:rRNA from 1 species
UCUAAUACCGGAUAAUACUUCCACUCGCAUGGGUGGGGGUUAAAAGCUCCGGCGGUGAAGGAUGAGCCCGCGGCCUAUCAGCUUGUUGGUGAGGUAAUGGCUCACCAAGGCGACGACGGGUAGCCGGCCUGAGAGGGCGACCGGCCACACUGGGACUGAGACACGGCCCAGACUCCUACGGGAGGCAGCAGUGGGGAAUAUUGCACAAUGGGCGAAAGCCUGAUGCAGCGACGCCGCGUGAGGGAUGACGGCCUUCGGGUUGUAAACCUCUUUCAGCAGGGAAGAAGCGAAAGUGACGGUACCUGCAGAAGAAGCGCCGGCUAACUACGUG